CAAAAUUUAUCUUUCGGACACAAGUUUUUCUGUUAUUCUCCUCCUCCUUUUUCACUUAGCUUAACAGGAUCCAAAUAGAGUCCAUUUCUUGAUCAUGACAAAUUACAACCCAAUUGACGCAAUCUUCAUCGGAUUUCGACAGUUUUUGCUGAGGUCCGGAAGCUUAAGGUAAUAUAAUAAACCCUCUUCGUCAAUGAUUUUGUUCUCUCUUAUGAUUCAUGUUAUUAUUUUCAAUUCCAAUUGAUUGUAAAUGACUGUUUAUUUACCGUCACAAUUUUAGAAUUUAUUCAUUUUUUCCCUGUAAUGAUCGUAAUGAGGGUGCUUGAUAUGGAUCGACAUAAUAAGUGGGUACCUAAUGAAGGUGUCAUCG
rnacentral:lncRNA from 1 species